rnacentral:tRNA from 1 species
UCCCCGAUAGCUCAACGGUAGAGCAGGCGGCUGUUAACCGCAAGGUUCAUGGUUCGAAUCCAUGUCGGGGAGCCU